rnacentral:rRNA from 1 species
GACGAACGCUCGCGGCGUGCUUAACACAUGCAAGUCGAACGAUGAAGCGGUGCUUGCACCGUGGAUUAGUGGCGAACGGGUGAGUAAUACGUGAGUGACCUACCUUUGACUCUGGGAUAAGCCUGGGAAACUGGGUCUAAUACCGGAUACGACCAAUCUCUGCAUGGGGUGUUGGUGGAAAGCGUUAUGGAGUGGUUUUAGAUGGGCUCACGGCCUAUCAGCUUGUUGGUGAGGUAAUGGCUUACCAAGGCGACGACGGGUAGCCGGCCUGAGAGGGUGACCGGCCACACUGGGACUGAGACACGGCCCAGACUCCUACGGGAGGCAGCAGUGGGGAAUAUUGCACAAUGGGCGCAAGCCUGAUGCAGCGACGCCGCGUGAGGGAUGACGGCCUUCGGGUUGUAAACCUCUGUUAGCAUCGAAGAAGCGAAAGUGACGGUAGGUGCAGAGAAAGCGCCGGCUAACUACGUG